rnacentral:lncRNA from 1 species
GGGUGAUAGAAGCUUCCUUCAGACUGGGGGGCCUUGAAGCUUUGGUGCUAGGAAUUCGGUGACCAGCACGGAUGAUACCCCGUUUCUCUGCAUUUGUAGCAAUAGUUGUUAACACGACCACGAGAUGUACAGAGGAAGGAAAAAGGAGGUUUUAUUUUCAGAGUAACACUCUGUGCUUUGGGAAAUGUGGUCUUGGGGGAGCUGUAAGCACGCACCCCUCAGGAGGGGAGGAGGCCGCGGCAUUACACGUUCCGGGGUUUGUUGGCUGUGUGUGUUCAUCGGGCUCAAGGAAUGUCUGAACGUUUACAGGGAAAGUGGGGUUUGUUCAUCCGGUUCGUACAAUGUCUGAACACUUACAGGGAAAGUCUAGCACACAUGCAGUGAGUUAACCUGUAACAUCCAUGUUCGCCUUGGGGCAAGUGUAACAUUUGAAAUGAGGUGGACUGGGCGUGUCAUGUACAAAGGUGAGCUGUUGGGCAUGAGCGUUUAUGCGCAGCCUCAGUCACAGCCAGGACUGGCUCAGGGUCUGCAGCCUGUGGCAGGAAAGGACACUCAUGAGGCCAUUCUGUCCAGUCGGGGCUGCCGGCAGGGUCCCAGGGUGGGGCUGUCUGGUCGACCGGCAUCUGGAGUCCACCCAGGUCCAGUGGGCAGCGUUCCUCUACACCAGGCUUCUGAUUGUGGAGGAGACUUCAUGCUGGUUAACACACUGUACAGGAGUAAUGUUGUGGGGCUUUGGGGUCCACCUUCCCUAUGAUGCCGGUUACAUUUCUCUCCGGACCUCACAGCCACAGAGAUUGCACCUCGUCUGACAGCAGGGGGUGCCAUGUUGACAUAGUAAUUUAUUGUAUUAACCUUUUUAUUACUAUUUUAAUAACUUUUUUUUUCUUUUUAAAGAGAUAGGGUAUUGCUGUGUUACUCAAGCCAGUCUUGAACUCCUGGCCUCAAGCAAUCCUCCCACCUCGGCCUCCCAAAGUGCUGGGCUUAUAGACGUGAGCCAGUGCGCCCAGCCUACAGCCACGUUUUUAAAACUCAGCAGUUUAAAAAUCCUAUUCCUUUUACCCCCUCAAGCAGGCUGGUUGGCCUUGUGCAAACUGGGGUGUCACGAUCUUAGCCUCCCCCUUUUAUUUUUCGCUUUGGCCUCAAGUUCUGAUGAGAACAGCAGUUACAAAAUGGGCUUUAGGUGAUCCUUCCGUUACUAAAGCCAGAAUUCUCACCAGUUGGAGAUGUUUGUCCCCAGGAUCCCAGAAAGCUGCUUUGAAUCAAGCCCGUAGCAAAUAAGUAAGGAACUAAACUCUUGGUCCUCUGCUUAGUACCAGGGGAAUGGGUUAGUUGCUGAUACCCUUUGAUCUGUGCUCACGUGCUGCAUCUCAUCACGGGAAGCAGAGUCGCCCUGUGGAAUAAAGCCCGGCUCAAGGUGGCGCGUCGAGACGCUUGGGGCUGUCAGUCCCUUAUACAGCGGCAGACUUGGAGACUCAGUAUCGCGUGCAGAGCCCAGGCAACCGGAGUGCAUCCACCUUAGAGACCACAUGGACGGUCGGCAAGGUGGAUGUCCGGGCAUAUGGCCUUGACAGGCCCACUGCGAGGUGAAUUAGGAAUUCGUUAGCAAAGAAAUCAAACUCGCCUUUGGGUCCCAACUACUUGGAAGGUUGAGGCGGGAGGAUUGC